rnacentral:rRNA from 1 species
UACGUAGGGGGUUAGCGUUGUUCGGAAUGACUGGGCGUAAAGCGCGCGUAGGCGGAUCAUCAAGUCGGGGGUGAAAUCCCGGGGCUCAACCCCGGAAUGGCCUUCGAGACUGGUGGUCUUGAGUUCGAGAGAGGUGAGUGGAAUUCCGAGUGUAGAGGUGAAAUUCGUAGAUAUUCGGAGGAACACCAGUGGCGAAGGCGGCUCACUGGCUCGACACUGACGCUGAGGUGCGAAAGCGUGGGGAGCAAACAGG